rnacentral:rRNA from 1 species
GACGAACGCUGGCGGCGUGCUUAACACAUGCAAGUCGAACGAUGAAGCUGGAGCUUGCUCCGGUGGGUUAGUGGCGAACGGGUGAGUAACACGUGAGUAAUCUGCCCUUGACUCUGGGAUAACUGCGGGAAACCGUAGCUAAUACCGGAUACGACACCUUCGGGCAUCCGAUGGGUGUGGAAAGAAUUUCGGUCAAGGAUGAACUCGCGGCCUAUCAGCUAGUUGGUGAGGUAAUGGCUCACCAAGGCGACGACGGGUAGCCGGCCUGAGAGGGGGACCGGCCACACUGGGACUGAGACACGGCCCAGACUCCUACGGGAGGCAGCAGUGGGGAAUAUUGCACAAUGGGCGAAAGCCUGAUGCAGCAACGCCGCGUGAGGGAUGAAGGCCUUCGGGUUGUAAACCUCUUUUAGUUGGGAAGAAGCGAAAGUGACGGUACCAACAGAAAAAGCACCGGCUAACUACGUGCCAGCCGCCGCCGUAA